rnacentral:rRNA from 1 species
UACGGGGGGAGCAAGCGUUGUUCGGAUUUACUGGGCGUAAAGGGCUCGUAGGCGGCCAACUAAGUCAGACGUGAAAUCCCUCGGCUUAACCGGGGAACUGCGUCUGAUACUGGAUGGCUUGAGAUUGGGAGAGGGAUGCGGAAUUCCAGGUGUAGCGGUGAAAUGCGUAGAUAUCCGGAAGAACACCGGUGGCGAAGGCGGCCUGCUGGGCAGUUGCUGACACUGAGGCGCGACAGCGUGGGGAGCAAACAGG